UACGUAGGUGGCAAGCGUUGUCCGGAUUUACUGGGCGUAAAGAGCGCGCAGGCGGUCGUGCAAGUCGCGUGUGAAAGCCCCCGGCUCAACUGGGGAGGGUCACGCGAUACUGCUCGAGUCGAAGGCAGGAGAGGGAAGUGGAAUUCCCGGUGUAGUGGUGAAAUGCGUAGAUAUCGGGAGGAACACCAGUGGCGAAGGCGACUUCCUGGCCUGUUCUUGACGCUGAGGCGCGAAAGCUAGGGGAGCAAGCGGG
rnacentral:rRNA from 1 species